GGCUCCGCCUCCUACCGCAGUGCUUGACGGGAGGCGGAGCGGGGAACGAGGCCGUCGGCCAUUUUGUGUCUGCUUCCUGUGGGACGCGGUGGUAGCCGUUGGGUCGGGAAAGUGAGGGAUUUUUCGCCUCGUUUCUCCUGCUUCUUUUCUCCUCCCUUUUACUUUGCCGGUAGAACACAGUUAUGGGUCGCAAGAAGAAGAAGCAGCUGAAGCCGUGGUGCUGGUAUUGUAAUAGAGAUUUUGAUGAUGAGAAGAUCCUUAUUCAGCACCAAAAAGCAAAGCAUUUUAAAUGCCAUAUAUGUCACAAGAAAUUGUAUACAGGACCUGGCUUAGCUAUUCAUUGCAUGCAGGUACAUAAAGAAACAAUAGAUGCCGUACCAAAUGCAAUACCUGGAAGAACAGACAUAGAGUUGGAAAUAUAUGGUAUGGAAGGUAUUCCAGAAAAAGACAUGGAUGAAAGACGACGACUUCUUGAACAGAAAACACAAGAAAGUCAAAAAAAGAAGCAACAAGAUGAUUCUGAUGAAUAUGAUGAUGACGACUCUGCAGCCUCAACUUCAUUUCAGCCACAGCCUGUUCAACCUCAACAAGGUUAUAUUCCUCCAAUGGCACAGCCAGGACUGCCACCAGUGCCAGGAGCACCAGGAAUGCCUCCAGGCAUACCUCCAUUAAUGCCAGGUGUUCCUCCUCUGAUGCCAGGAAUGCCACCAGUUAUGCCAGGCAUGCCACCUGGAUUGCAUCAUCAGAGAAAAUACACCCAGUCAUUUUGCGGUGAAAACAUAAUGAUGCCAAUGGGUGGAAUGAUGCCACCUGGACCAGGAAUACCACCUCUGAUGCCUGGAAUGCCACCAGGUAUGCCCCCACCUGUUCCACGUCCUGGAAUUCCUCCAAUGACUCAAGCACAGGCUGUUUCAGCGCCAGGUAUUCUUAAUAGACCACCUGCACCAACAGCAACUGUACCUGCCCCACAGCCUCCAGUUACUAAGCCUCUUUUCCCCAGUGCUGGACAGAUGGGGACACCUGUCACAAGCUCAAGUACAGCUUCAUCCAAUUCAGAAAGUCUGUCUGCAUCUUCUAAAGCUCUGUUUCCUAGCACAGCACAAGCUCAGGCAGCUGUUCAAGGACCUGUUGGUACAGAUUUCAAACCCUUAAAUAGUACCCCUGCAACAACUACAGAACCCCCAAAGCCUACAUUCCCUGCUUAUACACAGUCUACAGCUUCAACAACUAGUACAACAAAUAGUACUGCAGCUAAACCAGCGGCUUCAAUAACAAGUAAGCCUGCUACACUUACAACAACUAGUGCAACCAGUAAGUUGAUCCAUCCAGAUGAGGAUAUAUCCCUGGAAGAGAGAAGGGCACAGUUACCUAAGUAUCAACGUAAUCUUCCUCGGCCAGGACAGGCCCCCAUCGGUAAUCCACCAGUUGGACCAAUUGGAGGUAUGAUGCCACCACAGCCAGGCAUCCCACAGCAACAAGGAAUGAGACCCCCAAUGCCACCUCAUGGUCAGUAUGGUGGUCAUCAUCAAGGCAUGCCAGGAUACCUUCCUGGUGCUAUGCCCCCGUAUGGGCAGGGACCGCCAAUGGUGCCCCCUUACCAGGGUGGGCCUCCUCGACCUCCGAUGGGAAUGAGACCUCCUGUAAUGUCGCAAGGUGGCCGUUACUGAUCUUACUUCAUCCAGUCUAAUAGCCCUGCCAUAGGACAGGCUGAGGCUGAGUCUCAGUGUUGCCCUGUUCAGUCUGAGGCAAAAUUUCAGCAUUUGCUACUUACUGGUAGAGAAGAAAAAUCCCACAGCCCUGCCAGUACAGGUUAGUUUAAUCUGUAAGUACCUGAUGUUCCUAUUUUUUUCAAACAUAUCCAUAUAACUCACACAAGGAAGAAAGCUGUGCGGUUACUUAAAUGUUAGUAUAACUAAUAAUAGAUCCAUUGGACACUUCAAAACACUCAGUACUUGGGCCAAAGUAGAUCUAGGUUUGCUAACCCCAGUUGUAAUAAAGGUGUAAUACUGCUCCUUUGUUAUCUCCUUGUGGUUCAACCUAAGUAGAUACAUUGUACAUAAAAGGAAAAGACAGUUUCAGUUGGCUAUGCCCUUGUUGAUAGAUGAUAUGGAGUCCAGGGCUUUGGGUCCAGGGUCUUUUACUUAAGCUAUUUCAUGGUGGUUCUCUCAUUCACCUUUUAACUUUUUACAGUAUGAAUCAACCUAAGAAAAAAGGCAAGUUUCCUCACAUCUAGAAAUGAUAAAUGGUGUACAGUCAUAAGCUAGAAUAUGUUUUUAUAAUGCUUUUUUGUUCUUUUAGCAACACUUGUAAAUACAAGUACUCCUAUUUUUGUUCUUUUUUUGUAAACUAUAACGUAUCCUGUUGGUGUACCAGUGAGUUCAUUUUACUGUAAACUAAGAAUAACAUACCUUUUUAAUACUGAAAGUUGACUACUCAUCAAGAAAUGUAGCUAGAUUAUGUAACACUUUUGAGGGGCAGUGGGGACAUAAUGGGUUGUGGAAGAUGUGUUUUAACAUUUUUAUUAUUUUUUUUAUUCUACCCGAGUUCAUUGUUGUUUGAACCAUCCUGUAAAGAUUUCCUUUAACCUCUAAAUGUUGUGCUUUUAGGUUGAUAACAAAUGUAAAGCACUGAGGAGGGAGGAAUAAAGCAUACAAGUUAAUUUCUAAUUUUCGCAAGCCUGAACCAUCCUAAUCUGAUAGUAGGAUGUAUGGCUUCUUCCUUUUCACCUUGUGUGUUGUUUAAUUUGAGACGAUCUAGCCAUAAAACUAGUAAUCUUGAAUUCCUCUUGAGCUGGAUGGUGAUUAGCCAUUGUGAAAACAGAUUAUAUGGAAAUUGUGCAUAUUGCUAAAUUUUAAAACAUGGAUUUAUCAACUGAUAAUAAAAUAUAUCUUACAAGAUAACCACUUGUUUUUUAAUGUAAAAUUGCACAAGGGCUUAAGUUUCAUUGCCUUUCACAGUUUAAUCUGUAUAUGAAAUGGUGUAGAUACAGUGGAAAUGGUUUUCCUUAAAACUGUCUCUUUAAAGCUGCCUUUCUGGUGAGUACUAUUUUAUACUUUUAUAUAUUAUAAUUUUAUCUUCUAAAAUUAACUGAAAUAGGACACUUUGAUUAAAGAGGUGAGCACUCUGAAUUUCUACAUCUUUGGAUAUUACUUGAAUCAAGAAUAUUAGAAAAUUAUUUUACCACCUGGCAUUUCCCUUUUAAUUUGCUAGUUCACUUUUUUCUGACCUUCGCUUAACAGACUAUAAAUACAAAAACUUUGAACACAUAAAUUAUUUCAUUUUGGUGAGAUGGAAUAAAUGUUUAAAAUUAGUAUUUAAGAAAGUUCUUAAACAUUUUUUUUAGUUGGCAGCCAAAAGAUUUUUCUUAGUGCUUUGGAGACAUUGCAUAGGUGUAAAAUUAAGAUACCAGAACUUCAUUCUGUUCUUGUUGAAGCUGUUGUUGUGGUGAUUCAUGAGCAGUAAGCUGGAGUUAGAGUGGAAGAAGGGUUUACCAAAAUUCUUCCUGCAGACUAGUUGCUUACAGGGUUUCUUUGAGAGGCUUAAAAAUUUCAAAAGUAUUAUUUAAGCCACUCUAACCCUGCAUGAAAAAUUGGAGUUAGAAAUACUGAUUUCUGAGACCACGUAUACCAGUGAAAAUUAGCUUCUGAGUAAAUUUCUAAUUUAUGCCCUGCUUUAUUUAGCCUCGCUAUAUGUAACACAUGGAUUAUUUUUUCCCUCUAGUUUUUAACUAUAUCCUAGAUUAAAACCAGCAUAUGCUAAGAAUGUUUUUACAUUCUAUUUCCUCCUGUGAUCUUUCUGAACCAAUAAUAAACAGUCAACUGUGAUGCUUUUUAGUAUGAACAAUGAUAGUUUUCUAAAAUCUGAAAAUCAAUACCUGAGUAUGUGAUGUGGCAAUGCAUUCUUCUAGAUAAGCACUAAACAAAGUAUGGACCCUCAAUUUAUGUCUUUAAGAUUUAAAGUGAAGUAAAUUUCUAAGGAACUGUGUCCUUUCCUAGCAGGAAUAAACAGUGAAAAUUUGGUAAGUAUUUAACUUUAAGUGCAUGUAAUAGUGAUGAGAGUAAGUAGCCAAAUUUCCGUAAUAUAAGAUAAUGUUUAAAAGUGAGCAAUAAUUAUUGCAUCUCUUUUGCGACUUCAUGUAGAUGUGAUUAACAUUUUUACAAAUUUGCCUGCAUAAAGAUUAAAUUGGAACAUACCUUACUCCUUUGUCUGGUUUUUUUAUUUUGUAUGGUGCUUUAAAUACUAAUUUUAUAUUUCAAGCUUUUUGCAGGGUAGAAAUAAGUGGCUGUUAAAGAAAAUAUCUUCAAGAAGGAUUAUUUCAAUGUCCCUUUUUAAAACUGACAAUAGGCAGCUAUCAAAAAUGGAAAAAAUCUUGUGCUCUUUCUGGAAUGUUAGAGGAAUCAGUUAAUGAUAGUAAAGUGGUAUUAACCCAAUACUUGAUUUGCAGUUUUUAAAGCAGUUUUUAAAUUGAGAGAAAAGGGGCUGGGCCCAGCUGAGGCGGGUGGAUCUCCUGAGGUCAGGAGUUUGAGACCAGCCUGGCCAACAUAGUGAAACCCCGUCUCCACUAAAAAUACAAAAAUCAGCCGGGUGUGGUGGGACGUGCCUGUAACCCCAGCUAACUCUGGAGGCUGAGGCAGGAAAAUCGCUUGAACCCAGGGGGAGGAGGUUGCGGUGAGCCGAGAUGGCACUGUUGCACUCCAGCUUGGGUGACAGAGCGAGACUCCGUCUCAAAAAAAAAAAAAAAGAAAAAAAGAAAAA